rnacentral:tRNA from 2 species
UGGUGUGGCUCAAUGGCAGAGCAGCUGAUUUGUAAUCAGCAGGUUGGGGGUUCGACUCCCUUCACC